UGUGUGGGGCACUAAAUACCUGACUUGAUAACAGAUUUAUAAAGCAGACAGUGUUUUACUUCUGAUUCCAAAAUGUAUAAACCUUUAUAUUUGGGUUUCUGGUAUCAAUAACAGGCUCUGUCACUGAGUGUGCUUUUGCAAUCUUUCCUGUCAUUUCUGUGCUGUAGGUAGGUGGCUGGGACAGUCUCCUGAUCUCAAGCUAGCUGGCAGGUGAACCUUGUUCUCCAAACAGUCAAAUGCUAUCUGUAUCAUCCUGUGACUAGACAGCAGUCUGCACUGAAUCUUCUGAACUCAGCAGAGGAGAUCAGGUCUUCGAUUUCCUAGUCUCUUGGUGGAUUAGUCCUAAAAAGACUGUUUCUGCUGCUGCAGUUGGAUUUGCAGUGCUGCUGCCAGAAGUGACAGGUUUAAGGACUAAUCUGUCCCCCUGGCGCCCAGGUUCAGAAUGACCCUUGCAAUUUGCAUGCAGCAUCAGUAUCUCAACCAGACCCUGUUUCCUUCCAGUGCUGUCUGUCUUAUUCAUUAGCAUUCUCAUGAUAAGAAAAGGCAAUUGCAAAUCAAACAGCAUUUAAAUUGGUACACCAAAAGGACAAACGAGCCUAAAACAUUGCCCAGACAAUGGCUUCAUGAAGGGCUGUUCUCAGGGCUGGCCUGCAGCCUCUUCUGGAGAGCUGGGUGAUGAUACCGGUGUCACUGUUAUUUCUUUCUUGAGUGAAACUGCUUUUUGUGCCAACACUUCCACACCUCUCCAGCCUUAUCCUCUGGCACAGUUUAGAGCUGCUUGAAGAUUGCUGGAAAUAAUGAUGUCUGGAGCACUCAGCUGGAGUGAGGUCCUUCAGCCUGUAGCUGCUGAGCUUCUGGACAUGUGUGAUCUGCUUCUGAGAGGUCUGUAAUGUCUACAGGUUUGCAUUCACUCUACAGGGAGGUUUUGCUUUAUUUGGAGGAAUAAAAAAGUCUACAGAUCAAGGGUCAGAAGUCCUGUGACAGCAGGGAGAUGGUUUUAAUUUGAUUGCCCUUAUCUUACAGUGUGGCCUUUAACUUCAGGAAGCAGAAGGGAAGUGAGAAGAUAUCUCUAUCCAAAUAGAGUACUGGCAGUUCUGAUCUGUGGUUCUCCACACCUUAAAGAAGCCUACUAUGCCAAAGUGGGUACUUUUCUGCCCCUUGUUGCCUCUACAGCAGCAGAGAGCACAGAAGCAGAUCCAGGCCAGACACUGGUCAUGGUGACAUCACUUUCAGGUUUUGGAUCUGGCUUCCUUGAUGUUUCUGUGCAUAUUGUGGCUGGACUGUCUCCAUCUGAAAUUAUCCAGAAUCAGUGUGGAUUCUCUGGGGCAUUGGGCAGUUUGGUUAGUCCAGGUCAAUUCAAAAUGAAAUGUUUUCAUCCUCUUUACAAACAAAACUUUAAUUUUAUUCUUCUUUUGGCAGAAAAAACCUUUUUCCUCUCAUGGAAAAUUUCUAUUUUUCUCAGAAACAGAAUUCUCUUUCAGAAGAGCUCCCCUAUGGAAAAUUCCAAGCCAGCUCCAAUCCUAAAACUUAAUGCCAGAAAACAUGUAGCAGGCAUUAGCAGAGGGUGACAUGGGGUAUAAUCUAUCAUUUAGUCCUAACUAGGGCAACAUAGCCAUAUGAAUUUGAGAACAUGAGCAGGCUCAGCAUCCCUAGCUCAGCAUGCGGUAGGCAAUCCACCAAAAGCACACUUGCAGCAGAGGGGAAAAGAGUUGUAAUAAUUAUUCAGUUUUGAAGGCUCAGUUGAGGAGCUGAGAAAGAAACUGGCAAAAUGUCAUCAGAUGCACCAUGUCUGCUUCCUCUUACUGACUUCCAAAUCCAAAGUGUUUGCUUUACAAAUAAGAUAUCUUUUGUUGUUUGUUUUUUUAGCAGAUAGUUUCACCGACAACCAGUCUGAAAGCAAAGGCUUCCUCCUCCUGUAAGAAGUAUGCUGGGGUGAAAAUCAUCUGGCAUGUUUACAGGCACAACAGACUUCAAUGUUGAAGUUGGUUCUGUUGAUGCACAAGAAAUAAUAGCCUCCAAUCCUUCUCCCACAGCCCUGAUUGCUGCUUUUCUACUCGGAAAAGAGACCAGCUGACUGAGAAAGCACUGUUCCCUUCAGCAGAAAAAGGAUCUGGGAUUCAAGCCUGUCUUAAAAGGAGGCAGACUCUGGCAGAAAGAAUUUGUCUGCAGCUGGCAAGCUGGAUGAAGAUGAAAGUCCUGGAAAAAUCCCCUUCAUGACUGAAUUCUGCAAGGGGACCUCAUCUCAAUCCCUGGUCCGAAAGAUCACCGAGCCGAAGUGCUGCUGCCAUGUUUGUGAAGCCAGAGCCCUGUUAUUGCUGCGUUCAAAGGCAAGGCACCAAAAAGAAUUAACAAAUCUAAGGAACCAGGGCAAGAAGGAGGAGUUAACGUUGAAGUCUCCAUCUCCUAAGGAUUAUUGGUAUUACUACAAUGUCCUGUGAUACUUCAUCCCUCUUGGGUUCAAGGUAAUGGUAGUUUUCUAAGCGUGUAACAUAAAACCCUGAGAUGUUCAUCAAGAUCUGCUAAUUAAAGAGACAGCAGGCAUUUAGGAUGUGGCUGUCACAAAACACCACAGCACUUAUCCCUGAGCUUUGAAAAGCAGUUCUUCAACAGUCAAACUCCUG